UUCUGUUCUUGGGUCUGGCAAUGCUAUCAAGCUCUUACAAUGAACAAGUUGAAGUCUUUUAGAUGGCAAGAAGAUUGCAGGUUUUCUUUUUCCCCUUUUUUAUGGAUUUUCAAUGUCUCUCCAGCUCUGAUGCAGCUUUAUGUAGAAGGAAGUUGUGCCUUGAGUCAACAGAACCACAACUGGUGUAUUUUCUUCCAACUACUUCUUACAUGACAGACAACAUCUACGCUUCCUCCACCAGCAUGCUAACUGGUUGUGCAUGACUACAUCCUUUAAGCUAAACAGCAUUGAGUCAUUUUCCCACGGUCCCCUGAAUAAGCCAUCAGUGAACUGGUAACUCCUUUCACAUCAAAAAGGAAGUGCUUCAAAAGGACCAGGCACUGUAGCCAUGUACCAAAAAGUACCAAAUCUUACCAACUGGAGGAAGAAGGAUUCUACUCAAAUAGAACACGUGAUUUAAUCCUGCUUGACUCCGUGCGUUCAAGACAUCCAACUCAGUGGACUGCCAUGGAACUCUUUCUCAGCUGGAAGAGUCCACCAUGUCACAUAACCUUGUACAACUAUCAUGUAAUAAAA